CAGCCGCUAAUAUUUCCCCCCAAUUUGCUUUUUCGCUCUUCCCUCUUUUUUUUUCCCUAUUCUCUUUUCCUGUCCGUGUCCUCCGACCUCCCUCUCUCUCUCUGACCCGCCCUCUCUCCUCUCCUCUCUAUGCGACUCACUUUCUCUCCUCUCUUCAUUUUUCAUCUACACUACUAACUCUUUCACCUGUUCCAUUUCUCUCUCUACCCCUUUUCAGAUUCAUAUAUACACAUAUAAUCCUGAUAUAUAUAAAUAUAUAUGGAUAGAAGUAACCAGAUGCGCAAGCAGAUUGCCGUAAUGAGGCAGUCUCUCUUUGAUCAGGGAUUUCUAGAUGAACAAUUUAUCAAGUUGGAGGAUCUGCAAGAUGAUGCUAAUCCUAAUUUUGUAGAGGAAGUGGCUACCGAGAUUCAUCUAGACUCAUCUAUAACCUGGACCAAGCACUCUACGAAGAAAAAACCAGUUUUGAUUUUAAGUUUAUAGAACAACCCUUUAGGUCCUUGAAGUGGAAAUAUGGCUUCUUUAAUUGAUAUAGCAGUUGGAGCAGCCAUAAAUAUACUCAGUGCAUUUUUUUUCUCCCUGAUAUUCGCCAUACUCCGGAUUCAACCGGUCAAUCAUAUGGUCUACUAUCCAAAGUGGUAUCUUAAAGGGUUAAGGAAUAGUCUGCUGCGCGCGGGUGCAUUCAUAAGUAGUGGAAUUAGUGAGAAGCAUUAGAAAAGCUUGAUAUUGAUUGGAAGAGGCUAAAACUCUACUUGGAUAUUUAAGAAAACCAAGACAAUUAUAUAAGAGAACCAAGGCAACACGAAAUUCUUCUUCAAGUUGUUGGGUAUUAUUUUCUUUCUUGCUUGUAAGAAUUAUGUAGAGUGAGGGUUUGAUGUAUUAUUUACAUCGAGAAUAAUGAAUUUUUAUUGAGAAUUAUAAUGAAUUUUCAUUGAGACUUAUUUAGUCUCAUGGGGAUUAGAUGUAUUAUUUACAUUUCAAUUGUAUGAAUAAAUGUUGUAUGUAUAUGAAUUUUUAUUAUGAUAAAUAUAAUUUUUUUUACAAA